GACGGACGCUGGCGGCGUGCUUAACACAUGCAAGUCGAACGGUGAAGCUCCAGCUUGCUGGAGUGGAUCAGUGGCGAACGGGUGAGUAACACGUGAGCAACCUGCCCCUGACUCUGGAAUAAGCGCUGGAAACGGCGUCUAAUACUGGAUACGAGAAGGGUCCGCAUGGGCACUUUCUGGAAAGUUUUUCGGUUGGGGAUGGGCUCGCGGCCUAUCAGCUUGUUGGUGAGGUAAUGGCUCACCAAGGCGACGACGGGUAGCCGGCCUGAGAGGGCGACCGGCCACACUGGGACUGAGACACGGCCCAGACUCCUACGGGAGGCAGCAGUGGGGAAUAUUGCACAAUGGGCGAAAGCCUGAUGCAGCGACGCCGCGUGAGGGAUGACGGCCUUCGGGUUGUAAACCUCUUUCAGCAGGGAAGAAGCGAAAGUGACGGUACCUGCAGAAGAAGCACCGGCUAACUACGUG
rnacentral:rRNA from 1 species